UACAGAGGUCUCAAGGCGUUGUUUCGGAUUCAUUGGGCGUAAAGGGUGCGUAGGCGGGCGCGGUAAGUCGGGGUGUGAAACUCUCGGGAGCUUUAACUCCGAAACUGCAUUCGAUACUGCCGUGCUUGAGGACUGGAGAGGAGACUGGAAUUUACGGUGUAGCGGUGGAAAUGCGUAGAUAUGUAAGGAAGACCAGUGGCGA
rnacentral:rRNA from 1 species